rnacentral:rRNA from 1 species
UGAGCAACCUGCCCUUGACACUGGAAUAACAGUUGGAAACAGCUGCUAAUACCGGAUAUGACCUCUGACGACAUCGUCUGGAGGUGGAAAGCUCCGGCGGUCAAGGAUGGGCUCGCGGCCUAUCAGCUUGUUGGUGGGGUAAUGGCCUACCAAGGCGGCGACGGGUAGCCGGCCUGAGAGGGCGACCGGCCACACUGGGACUGAGGCACGGCCCAGACUCCUACGGGAGCAG